rnacentral:rRNA from 1 species
GACGUAGGGCGCAAGCGUUGUCCGGAUUUAUUGGGCGUAAAGAGCUCGUAGGCGGCCUGUCGCGUCGACCGUGAAAACCCGCAGCUCAACUGCGGGCUUGCGGUCGAUACGGGCAGGCUGGAGUUCGGUAGGGGAGACUGGAAUUCCUGGUGUAGCGGUGAAAUGCGCAGAUAUCAGGAGGAACACCGGUGGCGAAGGCGGGUCUCUGGGCCGAUACUGACACUGAGGAGCGAAAGCGUGGGGAGCGAACAGG